ensembl:lncRNA
UUACAUUUAACAUACCAUAGUAUUAUUUUUUCUUGUUUUAUUAAUAUUAUUAUUACUAAUAUUUUUAUUAUUAUUAUUAUUUUUAUUUUUAUUUUAUAAUGGUAUUUUUAAUAUAGUAUAAUGGUAUUAAUUUGCAAAUACCAAGAUAAGUGAAUAUAGUACUUUAACAAUGUAAUGAUUUGGGUCAGUUCAAAAGCACCAAGCAACCACAUCACAACCUUCCAAUACAAUACACCUUAGCAACCAUUCACAACACCUUCACACAAUGGAGUUUUAAAUGGUCAAGCAUACAUUUUUCUUCAGAAAAUGUAACAUCUAAUUACAGUAUAGUAUAUACGCUAUUGCCAUGAAAAACAAACUAUUACCUGCCUUUUUUUUUUCUUCACAUUUUUGAACUGUUUAACAUUUUUGGUUAGGAACUGACAAAAUUAAAUAAAUAGAUUUUGUUUAUCUCUGAGAAAAGCAACAUCAAUUUUCUAGCUCAGAGAAGCAGGGCUCUUGUCAUGCACACACACAUAAUCAAAGUAAAGAAACGAAGCAGCCGCAGUGAAAGAAAGAUAAUUACUUAAAACAAAGAGCGAUCACGCAGCGUGUGUGGAGGCAUGGCAUCCUGUGCGUGUUCUGCCGGUGUGAGCAUUGAGAAAAGAAGCAUCUCGCAUGAUUGGACUGUCGAUGUUCAGCACCAUGGACAGCUCCUGCUCUGUAUCACCUGAUCAGAUGGCACCCUGUUUUGUACCUUAUUCAUGAAAAGUCCCCAAUACCUACAGUACCAGGCCUCU